rnacentral:rRNA from 1 species
GACGAACGCUGGCGGCGUGCCUAAUACAUGCAAGUAGAACGCUGAAGAGAGGAGCUUGCUCUUCUUGGAAGAGUUGCGAACGGGUGAGUAACGCGUAGGUAACCUGCCUUGUAGCGGGGGAUAACUAUUGGAAACGAUAGCUAAUACCGCAUAACAAUGGGUGACCCAUGUCAUUCAUUUGAAAGGGGCAACUGCUCCACUACAAGAUGGACCUGCGUUGUAUUAGCUAGUAGGUGAGGUAACGGCUCACCUAGGCGACGAUACAUAGCCGACCUGAGAGGGUGAUCGGCCACACUGGGACUGAGACACGGCCCAGACUCCUACGGGAGGCAGCAGUAGGGAAUCUUCGGCAAUGGGGGCAACCCUGACCGAGCAACGCCGCGUGAGUGAAGAAGGUUUUCGGAUCGUAAAGCUCUGUUGUAAGUCAAGAACGAGUGUGAGAGUGGAAAGUUCACACUGUGACGGUAGCUUACCAGAAAGGGACGGCUAACUACGUGCCAGCAGCCGCGGUAAUACGUAGGUCCCGAGCGUUGUCCGGAUUUAUUGGGCGUAAAGCGAGCGCAGGCGGUUUGAUAAGUCUGAAGUUAAAGGCUGUGGCUCAACCAUAGUUCGCUUUGGAAACUGUCAAACUUGAGUGCAGAAGGGGAGAGUGGAAUUCCAUGUGUAGCGGUGAAAUGCGUAGAUAUAUGGAGGAACACCGGUGGCGAAAGCGGCUCUCUGGUCUGUAACUGACGCUGAGGCUCGAAAGCGUGGGGGAGCAAACAGG